GAUGAGUUGCGAACGGGUGAGUAACGCGUAGGUAACCUGCCUUGUAGCGGGGGAUAACUAUUGGAAACGAUAGCUAAUACCGCAUAACAAUGGAUGACACAUGUCAUUUAUUUGAAAGGGGCAAUUGCUCCACUACAAGAUGGACCUGCGUUGUAUUAGCUAGUAGGUGAGGUAAUGGCUCACCUAGGCGACGAUACAUAGCCGACCUGAGAGGGUGAUCGGCCACACUGGGACUGAGACACGGCCCAGACUCCUACGGGAGGCAGCAGUAGGGAAUCUUCGGCAAUGGGGGCAACCCUGACCGAGCAACGCCGCGUGAGUGAAGAAGGUUUUCGGAUCGUAAAGCUCUGUUGUAAGUCAAGAACGGGUGUGAGAGUGGAAAGUUCACACUGUGACGGUAGCUUACCAGAAAGGGACGGCUAACUACGUGCCAGCAGCCGCGGUAAUACGUAGGUCCCGAGCGUUGUCCGGAUUUAUUGGGCGUAAAGCGAGCGCAGGCGGUUUGAUAAGUCUGAAGUUAAAGGCUGUGGCUCAACCAUAGUUCGCUUUGGAAACUGUCAAACUUGAGUGCAGAAGGGGAGAGUGGAAUUCCAUGUGUAGCGGUGAAAUGCGUAGAUAUAUGGAGGAACACCGGUGGCGAAAGCGGCUCUCUGGUCUGUAACUGACGCUGAGGCUCGAAAGCGUGGGGAGCGAACAGGAUUAGAUACCCUGGUAGUCCACGCCGUAAACGAUGAGUGCUAGGUGUUGGAUCCUUUCCGGGAUUCAGUGCCGCAGCUAACGCAUUAAGCACUCCGCCUGGGGAGUACGACCGCAAGGUUGAAACUCAAAGGAAUUGACGGGGGCCCGCACAAGCGGUGGAGCAUGUGGUUUAAUUCGAAGCAACGCGAAGAACCUUACCAGGUCUUGACAUCCCGAUGCUAUUUCUAGAGAUAGAAAGUUACUUCGGUACAUCGGUGACAGGUGGUGCAUGGUUGUCGUCAGCUCGUGUCGUGAGAUGUUGGGUUAAGUCCCGCAACGAGCGCAACCCCUAUUGUUAGUUGCCAUCAUUCAGUUGGGCACUCUAGCGAGACUGCCGGUAAUAAACCGGAGGAAGGUGGGGAUGACGUCAAAUCAUCAUGCCCCUUAUGACCUGGGCUACACACGUGCUACAAUGGUUGGUACAACGAGUUGCGAGUCGGUGACGGCGAGCUAAUCUCUUAAAGCCAAUCUCAGUUCGGAUUGUAGGCUGCAACUCGCCUACAUGAAGUCGGAAUCGCUAGUAAUCGCGGAUCAGCACGCCGCGGUGAAUACGUUCCCGGGCCUUGUACACACCGCCCGUCACACCACGAGAGUUUGUAACACCCGAAGUCGGUGAGGUAACCUUUUGGAGCCAGCCGCCUAAGGUGGGACAGAUGAU
rnacentral:rRNA from 1 species